UUUAAAACAGAAGCUUUAUCAUAAACCUGGAUCCUUGAAUAUCUAUCUGCACAGAGCAAGGCUUCAUCAACAUUGGACCACACAUCUUGAACUAUUUUCUUUCUUGCCUGAAACAACUAACAUAUAGGACAAAAUAAGAAAGUUUCUAAAGACAUUGAACAUCAAUCAAAAAAGGACAGUGAUCUCUGAAAGAUGAAGAACAGAUGAGCCAAAUUCUGAUACCUUCUAAAAAAGCAACUUUAAAAACCCACAAAAAGGGCUUCGCUAGUGGUGCAGUGGUUGAGAGUCCGCCUGCCGAUGCAGUGGAUACGGG